UACGUAGGGUGCGAGCGUUAAUCGGAAUUACUGGGCGUAAAGCGUGCGCAGGCGGUUCGUUGUGUCCGUCGUGAAAGCCCCGGGCUUAACCUGGGAACUGCGAUGGAAAUUAGCGAGCUGGAGUGUGGCAGAGGGGGGUGGAAUUCCGCGUGUAGCAGUGAAAUGCGUAGAGAUGCGGAGGAACACCGAUGGCGAAGGCAGCCCCCUGGGCUAACACUGACGCUCAGGCACGAAAGCGUGGGGAGCAAACAGG
rnacentral:rRNA from 1 species